rnacentral:rRNA from 1 species
CGGUGACAGGUGGUGCAUUGGUUGUCGUCAGCUCGUGUCGUGAGAUGUUGGGUUAAGUCCCGCAACGAGCCGCAACCCCUAUUGUUACGUUGCCAUCAUUCAGUUGGGCACUCUAGCGAGACUGCCGGUAAUAAACCGGAGGAAGGUGGGAUGACGUCAAAUCAUCAUGCCCCUUAUGACCUGGGCUACACACGUGCUACAAUGGUUGGUACAACGAGUUGCGAGUCGGUGACGGCGAGCUAAUCUCUUAAAGCCAAUCUCAGUUCGGAUUGUAGGCUGCAACUCGCCUACAUGAAGUCGGAAUCGCUAGUAAUCGCGGAUCAGCACGCCGCGGUCGAAUACGUUCCCGGGCCUU